rnacentral:rRNA from 1 species
AGAGUUUGAUCCUGGCUCAGGAUGAACGCUAGCUACAGGCUUAACACAUGCAAGUCGAGGGGAAACGACAUCGAAAGCUUGCUUUUGAUGGGCGUCGACCGGCGCACGGGUGAGUAACGCGUAUCCAACCUGCCCACCACUUGGGGAUAACCUUGCGAAAGUAAGACUAAUACCCAAUGAUAUCUCUAGAAGACAUCUGAAAGAGAUUAAAGAUUUAUCGGUGAUGGAUGGGGAUGCGUCUGAUUAGCUUGUUGGCGGGGUAACGGCCCACCAAGGCAACGAUCAGUAGGGGUUCUGAGAGGAAGGUCCCCCACAUUGGAACUGAGACACGGUCCAAACUCCUACGGGAGGCAGCAGUGAGGAAUAUUGGUCAAUGGACGAGAGUCUGAACCAGCCAAGUAGCGUGCAGGAUGACGGCCCUAUGGGUUGUAAACUGCUUUUGCGCGGGGAUAACACCCUCCACGUGCUGGAGGUCUGCAGGUACCGCGCGAAUAAGGACCGGCUAAUUCCGUGCCAGCAGCCGCGGUAAUACGGAAGGUCCGGGCGUUAUCCGGAUUUAUUGGGUUUAAAGGGAGCGUAGGCCGGAGAUUAAGCGUGUUGUGAAAUGUAGAUGCUCAACAUCUGAACUGCAGCGCGAACUGGUUUCCUUGAGUACGCACAAAGUGGGCGGAAUUCGUGGUGUAGCGGUGAAAUGCUUAGAUAUCACGAAGAACUCCGAUUGCGAAGGCAGCUCACUGGAGCGCAACUGACGCUGAAGCUCGAAAGUGCGGGUAUCGAACAGGAUUAGAUACCCUGGUAGUCCGCACGGUAAACGAUGGAUGCCCGCUGUUGGUCUGAAUAGGUCAGCGGCCAAGCGAAAGCAUUAAGCAUCCCACCUGGGGAGUACGCCGGCAACGGUGAAACUCAAAGGAAUUGACGGGGGCCCGCACAAGCGGAGGAACAUGUGGUUUAA